UCCCACUAGUCGCAUUGUACCUCUCCAACCUCCCCACGUACCACAAUGUCGUUAACCCGCUCGACCGUGGCAUCGAGGUCAGCCUCGCCCACGGCUACCUCCUCGUCGUCCCCUUCGCGCUCACCGGCCCGCUCCAUAAAAUGCCCGUGGCGCCAUCUAUCUCGGCUCCAUCCUCAGCGUCUACCUCACCAUGUACGGCGUCACAUCAUUCAAUCAGGGAGCGCUCACGCUCACUGGCCGCAAAAAGGAGGCUGACAAGCUGCGGACCACCGAAGGGUGAUCACAGUUCACACGAGGCUUCUUCUUCGGCUGUGUCUCCAGCACCGUGUGGGCUUACUUCCACCUCUAUGUGCAGAUGAUGUGAUCUCUUCUUGGUGGUUGCUUGAACGAGUCUAUGUAUACAUGAAUUUACAUUUUUUCCUC
rnacentral:rRNA from 1 species